rnacentral:rRNA from 1 species
GACGGAGGAUGCAAGUGUUAUCCGGAAUCACUGGGCGUAAAGCGUCUGUAGGUGGUCAAAUAAGUCAACUGUUAAAUCUUGAGGCUCAACCUCAAAAUCGCAGUCGAAACUAUUCGACUAGAGUAUAGUAGGGGUAAAGGGAAUUUCCGAGUGGAGCGGUGAAAUGCGUAGAGAUUGGAAAGAACACCGAUGGCGAAGGCACUUUACUGGGCUAUUACUAACACUGAGAGACGAAAGCUAGGGUAGCAAAUGGG